UCCGUUCGAGCACUGGCUACUCUUGGUUGCAUUCACUGACCACUUCGAGUGAAAGCAAAGUUCAGCUUUCCGAGCUAAGCUGUGCACCUGAAUGCUUUGGAAACUUGUCUUCAUUUUAUUUUCUUUCAAACCCCUUGCAGCCUGCUGACCAGGUGAAACUAAUCAUACUGAUAUCAAAACCUUUACUAUUUGGACAAAGGUAAAUAUUUCCUCAUCCAUUGCAUAGCUUUUUAAUCCACUCUUCUUUUAAAAAGAUACAGUUUGCAUUUAUAUUAUUUCAGUGGCUACUCAUGCAUGUUGACAUACAGAGCAAUUCUCAAUUUGUCUAACAACUUUAAGGUUAGUUGGUAGUCCCACACUUUUCCAGAACACACCAAGGACUUUAAUGCCCUAAAUAACCAUAGAAACUUCCACCUCCUCUAUUUUAUCACUGUUUAUAAUUUUACUUUUAUCUCUUUCAAAAAAAAAUAAACUUAAUUCUUGCCAGUUAUGUCUACUUAUAUAUUUUGUUUCUUGUACCCCCACAUUUCCUUCUGAGCUUACAUUUCCUUGUACAGAAGCCCCUCCCUCCUUGUUACUUUGGUGCAGGUCUCUGGCGGGGGAUAAAUUCACUUAGCCUUUGUGUAACUAAAAAUGCCUUUAUUUUGCUUUUGCUUUUGAAUGAGAGUUAACUGGGUAUAAAGCCUUCGGUGGACAUUUACCAUCAGCACUUGGCGGCUAUUAAUCCAUUAUCUCCUGGCAUCUAUUUCCAAUUAUGAAGAGAUGUGCUGGUCUCUGGCUGCCGACAGUCUGUUCUCUGUCUUCUCUCUGGCAGCUCUUAAGGCCUUUUGUAUAUUACCCUUCAUGUUCUGUAGUCUCAUUACAAUGUGCAUAGGUAUGGAUUUAUUUUCACUUGUUCUCCUUGGUACUUGGGGCGUUCUUUUAAAUACAGGAUUCAUACCUUUCUCCAGUGUAGAUAUUUUUUAGCUAUUGUAACAACCGUUUCCUCCAUUCUCAGCUUCUCACUUUUCUGACACCACUCCGAAAGGAUUGGGGGUGGGUGUUGUGGUACCUCGUGACAGCCUGGUAAGGGUGGAAGUCUAAGCCCUUCAUCCUGCCUUUGCCGGGGGGUGAGGGAGGGGGUGAAGCUGCAGUCUUUUCUGUGGUGUUUGGCUAUCGGAGAGUGGUUUGUGUCUAAAGGUUCUUUAUGUUGUCAGUUUGCCCUUUUCCUGGUUCUUUGGCUAGAGAGAGAAGGCUUUUUUUUUUUUUUUUUUUUUUUAAUCUCUGUCUGUUGGCAUUUCCAGGCAUCCAGGCUGAUGCAAAAAGAAAACCUCAUGUGUCGAGGUCCCUAGUCAGUCUGCCUUCUCUUCUCUACUUUUCAAAGUAUUGUCAUGUUUGUUUUCUGUGUAAUGUCCUGAGUUUUUAGUUUUACUUGCCUGGAGAAAUAGGGAAAAGAAUGUCUACUACUGUAUCUUCCUGGAAACGAAACCUAUGUAUUUAGGCUUUGUCAGGCUUCUCUAUAAAUUAAUUUUAAGGGGGAAGAGCUUAAAUAUUGAUUUAAUUAUUAUUUUUGGCUGUUCUUUGCAUUAGAUUUCUUCACCUGUCUUUACAUUUUGAUUUGCAAGAUCAUGUGGAGAGGGAUAUGUCAUUUUUAUGUCUCUCUUGCUCUUUCCCUUUCAACGCUCACCAAUCUCUUUCGAGUAAUUUUGUUUCUUUCUCCAGACCCUGCAUUACAACUCUAGAACCAGGUUUAGAAUGUAAUUUGGAGCCUAUGCCCUUUGCAGUGAGAUAGAGAUCCCACAGACCUGGGCCCUGAGCUACCUGGUAAUCUGGUUAAGCUUCUUGUUAACCAACUAUGCCUGAGUCUUUCCACUGGCUUGGCCCACAGGCAGUUAUGAGCUAUGGCCCCAGGCAGAAAAUGGCAGAAAGGUUUUGUGUCUCCUUUCAUUAGUCAGGGAAGAGGAAGUCCCAUCAGCCUUAGCUGUUAGCAAUGAGCCUAUCUUAGUGCAUCUCAAGUGGAGAUGGAGAACCAGAGAGUACUUUAGGUCUCCCUUAUUGCAGAAGGUCAACUGUCUGCUCUCAGACCAGAUUCCAAGAAGUCUCUUGCUUCACCUCUGCCUACCAUUUUUGCUUCUCUAUUUCUGGACCAUGGAAACGGUACCCUCAUUACACGCUCUUUCAUUUUUAUUUUCUUGAAAUCUUUUUGGUAUAGGAUUGCCACGUGCUGGGAGUAGAAACUGUACCAAAGCAUGAAUUUCCUAGACCAUCUAGAUGGAAAACAUACCUCUUUCUUAAGCAUGUUUUGGAAACACUUGGGGGAAAUGGUUUAUGUAAGAUAACGAGCUCUAAAGUCCAAAAUUAGCUCUGAUUAAGUGAGUUUCAUGAUAGAACCAGUUCUUUUUAAGUGACAUCAUAUACUUAUUAGCCAUUUUGAUAUAUAAUUAUGCAGUUCUCUUACAUCCCCCUUUACUUCAAGCCAUCAUCCAAAUAUGGGUAGAUGAUAACUUUUGGCUAAAUUGUUCUUCAGUAUUAUUGGGUACGUAUGAGCCAAAUGUUCACUAUGAUUAAACUUAAUUUCUUGUCAACUUUUUUUUUCUAGUGUUAAUAACUGUCCUAUUUCCCAGUCCUUUUACCUACGGUUAAUUCUUCCAAUACAGUAUACUAUUAUGGCAAUCCAGAUUUCCAUGCAAUCAAAUCACUCAGUUCAUGUAUCAGUUAUUUUUCUCCUUUAUGACUUCCGGUCUAGUACCCUACAUCUUCAUGUUCCAGUGGGACCUGUUACUUUCUUGGACUUCUAAAACAGCUGCCUUCUUUGAAAGUUCUCUUUACCAUCAACCUUCUCCUCUUUCUUGUGUUGUAUCUCCUGCCUUCUAGGACCUCAUCUUUUUCUUAGUUCCCUGUAGCAUGACCCAUUCUAAGGUUCCUAAAGAAAGAUGCAUUAGCGAUACCUUUUUAAAAAUAUUUGUUUUGCUUUCAUUUCAAAUGCGUAAUUUGGCUAGUACAACAUUCGAGGUUGGAAAUUAUCUUCCCCUAGAAUUUCUGGAAUUUACUUCUUUUUCUUCCACCUACUGAAGUUUCCAAAAUAGUUUUCAUUCCUGAUCUCUCAUUAGGACCCAACUUUUCUCCCUGGAAUAUCUUACGAUCUUCUUAUCAUUUAUGUUCUGUAAUUUCACAAUGAUGUACUGGGAUGUGGGUCUUUUUUUAAUCUUUCAACUACACUCUUAGUGGGGCUUUUCAAUCUGGAGAUUUAUGUACUUGAGUUCGAUGAUUUUUUUCUUGAAUUAAGUAGCACAGCUAAACUCCCUUUGGAAUUUCGUUCUUCCUCUUUGCUGUGGUCUAGAUGUUUGUGUCCCUUCAAUUUUCAUAUUUGAAAUCCUAAUCCCUGAGGCAACAAUAUCAGGAGGUGGCACCUUUGGGAGGUGAUUAGGUCAUGAGAGAAGACUCUGCAUGAAUGGGAUGAGUGUCUAUUAAAGACAUUCCAUAGAGUUUGCUGGCCCCUUCUACCACAUGAGGACAUAGCAAGAAGUUUUUAGUCUGCAACCUGAAAGAGAGCCGUCACCAGAACCUGACCAUACUGCUAUUCAGAUGUUGGACUCCUAACCACCAGAAUGAGGGAAGCAGGGCCGGGUUGGCUGAUUGGGAUGGUCUGUACACCCGGAGCUUUAUAGGUCACGUGAUGUGUCAGUAAUUCCUUUGGUCAACAUGUGAGGAACCUAAGAAAGAUGGGCAGUGGCUGUUCAAGGCCGAAAGUGCCUCUGUCUGUCUCCCGCCCCCUGCUUUGGAGAGAGAGAGCCCCCAACAGCCAGACAAGGCAAUGCUGACAGUGAGAUGUGGCACGCUGGCAGAAUGCACGGAAUGUUUAUCCCAGCUUCAGGGAAAGCAACCCUGAUACACAGCGCUGGUAGAACGACAUGACAUCAGUGACCAAACAGGACAGAGCCGCACCUGCCUAACUCAAGGGCAUCAAGGUCCCAGGGUUCAAGCAGAGAUCUUCCAAGGAGUCCACAAAAAGGCCCAUGUGACGAACCCCCCCCCAAAACCAAAACAGCUUUAAACAUCGGCUGGGCAUAGAGAGAGCAAAGCCGGCAUUCCUUUCCCCCUUCCUUUUGCUCUUCCUCGGUAUGCCCAGAUCCCUGGGCCAUCUGGCCAACAUGCCAGGGGACCACGGAAGGGGAGAAAUCCGAGUCUGUGCCCCCUUUCUCCACUGGAGGCUUCAAGCCUGGGAAAGCAAUGAAGUGCUUGCUGCCUUUAAAUCAAAGUUCAGCCUUUUCAUUAAUAUCCUGGAUUGGACACUGAUUUGCAAACCAAGACUGUUUGUAACUCCAUAACCAUAAGAGCUACAUGUUACCUAAUAACGACCAGAAACAUUUUGUCUUGGGGCAGAGAUAAAUCAAGCAUGGGAGAUAAAUAAAGUCACUCUUUGAUCGCA